AACGAACGCUGGCGGCGCGCCUAAUACAUGCAAGUCGAGCGAGAAGACGUAGCAAUACGUUUGUAAAGCGGCGAACGGGUGAGGAAUACAUGGGUAACCUACCCUCGAGUGGGGAAUAACUAGCCGAAAGGUUAGCUAAUACCGCGUACGCUCCUUGGACUUCGGUUCAGGGAGGAAAGCGAUACCGUGGGUAUCGCGCUCUUGGAUGGGCUCAUGUCCUAUCAGCUUGUUGGUGAGGUAACGGCUCACCAAGGCUUCGACGGGUAGCUGGUCUGAGAGGACGAUCAGCCACACUGGCACUGCGACACGGGCCAGACUCCUACGGGAGCAGCAGUAAGGAUAUUGCGCAAUGGGCGAAAGCCUGACGCAGCGACGCCGCGUGGGGGAUGAAGGUCUU
rnacentral:rRNA from 1 species